GUUGGGCACGGUGGUGCAAGCCUGUAAUCCCAGCAGCUUGGGAGGCUGAGACAGGAGGAUCACAGGUUCAAAGCCAGCCUCAGUAACAGAGAGGCAUUAAGUAAAUCAGUGAGACCCUGUCUCUA
rnacentral:sRNA from 1 species